rnacentral:lncRNA from 1 species
AUGAGCCUGGUGAUAGAUGGCAUCUGUUGUCCACAGACAGGUCCAGCUAAGCACACCUCUCUUGUGCUUGAGGAAUUGAGCCAUCAUUUGAAGGAGAAACAGUAUGAGACCUGGCAUAUAACUUACAUGCAACAAUUAGCCUCCACAUGGCAGGGGACCUCAGCGGGGGAACGAGGGGAAGAAAAAAACUUUUCCAAACAGGAAGAUGUUUGUCUCUGGCUGCUGUGAAGAGAAUUGAACUCUCUAUUUAUUUUUAAUGUAAUCAAUUAGCAAACUUUAAUUUAAUCAAUCAAGAAUUUGAAGUACCCCUACUGAGCACUUGGUAGGUCACUAGGUAAGAGAGUUCACAACUCACUUACUAGAAAGGCCACAAGCACUUCCUCCCUUGGGUAGUGCUAGGAAAAUUGGGAAGCUGUGAUUGGUUCCUGUGAAAAGGGAGUGAAAUAGUGAUGUGGAAAAAGGACUAUAAAAGGCAAGAUGGAGAAGAUUAAUGGAUUCUUUCCUUCCUUGACUCUUCAGUGAGGACUCUGUCUCUUGGUUGGUACUUCAGUGGAACACUCUCUUCAGCCUGAGCUCUGGUGAGAUUCUUGGAGGUUUUAGCCUCUUGGGCACAUAAGAUUCUCCAUUGGCUAUUCACCAUUUCCUGGCUCUUUGAAAUUUGGCUUCCUAAUUAGUAUUUUGGAUUCUGGUGAGACUUCCUUUCGGAUCCACAUUUGCUGUCUGGAGGCAUUAGGAUUAGGAUUUAGGGUAUUUGUAGCUAGGAGAUUUUUUCUACCUCUUUCCUAUAUUUCAUAUCUCUACCUUGUAAAUAAAAGCUGCUUACAGUCA